GGCCUGAUAUAUAGGCCUCAGUUGGUUAGAGCAGGGGACUCAUAAUCCCUUGGUCGCAGGUUCGAGUCCUGCUGGGCCCACCA
rnacentral:tRNA from 1 species